AAAACGACUCUCGACAACGGAUAUCUCGGCUCUCGCAUCGAUGAAGAACGCAAAUUGCAGAAUCCCGUGAACCAUCGAGUCUUUGAACGCAAGUUGCGCCCGAAGCCGUCAGGCCGAGGGCACGUCUGCCUGGGCGUCACGCAUCGCGUCGCCCCCC
rnacentral:rRNA from 1 species